AGAGUUUGAUCAUGGCUCAGAUUGAACGCUGGCGGCAGGCCUAACACAUGCAAGUCGAACGGUAACAGGAAGCAGCUUGCUGCUUUGCUGACGAGUGGCGGACGGGUGAGUAAUGUCUGGGAAACUGCCUGAUGGAGGGGGAUAACUACUGGAAACGGUGGCUAAUACCGCAUAACGUCGCAAGACCAAAGAGGGGGACCUUCGGGCCUCUUGCCAUCAGAUGUGCCCAGAUGGGAUUAGCUUGUUGGUGAGGUAACGGCUCACCAAGGCGACGAUCCCUAGCUGGUCUGAGAGGAUGACCAGCCACACUGGAACUGAGACACGGUCCAGACUCCUACGGGAGGCAGCAGUGGGGAAUAUUGCACAAUGGGCGCAAGCCUGAUGCAGCCAUGCCGCGUGUAUGAAGAAGGCCUUCGGGUUGUAAAGUACUUUCAGCGGGGAGGAAGGUGUUGUGGUUAAUAACCACAGCAAUUGACGUUACCCGCAGAAGAAGCACCGGCUAACUCCGUGCCAGCAGCCGCGGUAAUACGGAGGGUGCAAGCGUUAAUCGGAAUUACUGGGCGUAAAGCGCACGCAGGCGGUCUGUCAAGUCGGAUGUGAAAUCCCCGGGCUCAACCUGGGAACUGCAUUCGAAACUGGCAGGCUUGAGUCUUGUAGAGGGGGGUAGAAUUCCAGGUGUAGCGGUGAAAUGCGUAGAGAUCUGGAGGAAUACCGGUGGCGAAGGCGGCCCCCUGGACAAAGACUGACGCUCAGGUGCGAAAGCGUGGGGAGCAAACAGGAUUAGAUACCCUGGUAGUCCACGCCGUAAACGAUGUCUACUUGGAGGUUGUGCCCUUGAGGCGUGGCUUCCGGAGCUAACGCGUUAAGUAGACCGCCUGGGGAGUACGGCCGCAAGGUUAAAACUCAAAUGAAUUGACGGGGGCCCGCACAAGCGGUGGAGCAUGUGGUUUAAUUCGAUGCAACGCGAAGAACCUUACCUGGUCUUGACAUCCACAGAACUUUCCAGAGAUGGACUGGUGCCUUCGGGAACUGUGAGACAGGUGCUGCAUGGCUGUCGUCAGCUCGUGUUGUGAAAUGUUGGGUUAAGUCCCGCAACGAGCGCAACCCUUAUCCUUUGUUGCCAGCGAUUAGGUCGGGAACUCAAAGGAGACUGCCAGUGAUAAACUGGAGGAAGGUGGGGAUGACGUCAAGUCAUCAUGGCCCUUACGACCAGGGCUACACACGUGCUACAAUGGCGCAUACAAAGAGAAGCGACCUCGCGAGAGCAAGCGGACCUCAUAAAGUGCGUCGUAGUCCGGAUUGGAGUCUGCAACUCGACUCCAUGAAGUCGGAAUCGCUAGUAAUCGUGGAUCAGAAUGCCACGGUGAAUACGUUCCCGGGCCUUGUACACACCGCCCGUCACACCAUGGGAGUGGGUUGCAAAAGAAGUAGGUAGCUUAACCUUCGGGAGGGCGCUUACCACUUUGUGAUUCAUGACUGGGGUGAAGUCGUAACAAGGUAACCGUAGGGGAACCUGCGGUUG
rnacentral:rRNA from 4 species